UCAGAAAGCACUUGGAGGAAAUGCAAGAGAAGGCUGAAUGAGUGAAGCAGAAAGCGCUUGGAGGAAAUGCGAGAGAAGGCUGAAAGAGUGAAGCAGAAAGCAUUUGGAAAAAGGAGAUCCACAAAUGGCCCUUCACACACCCAUGGACUCCGUAGGACAGGAUGCCAUGAGCGGCAUGAGAGUCCAUGUUACCUGCGCUACGCCGCCCAGACCCAGCCUGGUUUCGACAGCCAGCGGCGUGUUCUCCUCAGCCCAAGAGUGGCUGGACUGGGCAAGGCGAACUGACAACAUGCCAAACCUGUCUGGGCAUGUGCAGAGACAGCGGCGAGCACAUGUGCCUGGCGCCUGGUGUCCCGGGUGAUUGUUUUGCAAUGCAGGCUGACCGUAUACUGAGUGCUUCCCUUUCACCAGGAUGCCAGGCUCCAGGCUGGCGUCUGGGCGGCAUAGAGCAGGUGGUGAAAUACUUUGUCAGCGACAGACUAAUAAAUGCAAAUAUGUUCUAGAGAAAAAUAUAUAAAAUGAUGAUUCAUUGUUGAUAGGUGGUCCAAAAGGAUACUACGAUUUACAAUAGUGAAGCCCACUGAAAGAUCCAGGAAGAAGGAUGUUUGUCCUACUUUCAUCCAAGCCUCAUCACAGAUCAACCAUUAGAGCAACCCAUGUACAAAUCUGAAUGAAGAUAAAAACAUUCCAGAGAGGAUAUUCUUACAAUUGACAAUUAUAUACUUGUACUCUGA